CUUGGUUCACCACAAAUGGACAGAUGUCAUAAAGGAGGGUGCCGCGGGGCCACUGGAUUCACUCUUGAGACUUAACCAGGUGGUGAGGGAGUCCAGAGUAGGGGCCCAGGAUGGGGACCGCCAUUCACUGCACGCACGCACACACACAUAGAUAGAAUUAUGGAGCCUUAUAUUAUACAUCUUAUAUAUAGAAAAUAUAUAUAUUUAUACUAUACACAGGCAGUUACGCUGCGGGAGGGCGGGGACACCCAGACAAGGGCUGUGGGCACCAGGGGAUGGGGAGAGUCACACCAAGGGUUCAGCUCUGGGAGAUGGCCGGAUCAGCCCCUCCUCCCACAAACUCUUGGGAGGGGUGCUUCCCCUUCCUGCUCCUUAGAGAAUCAAAGGGGUGUUGGGCCAAGGUUGGGGGGCCCUCCAGGGCUAACAAGUGGGGGCUCUUGGUUACAUGGGGAAGCCUGGGACCCCCAAGUCUUUGAAGAUCAAAAACCACCAGGGAAGGUUGGAGUAGGGGAGCGGAUGCCAGUCCCUGGGGAAUUAGUCAUCGAUUGUCACACCGCCAGGUACCAGAGGUCACAUCCAGGCAGACAGCCUGUGACUGUGUAGGAUGAGUGUUAACUCAGAGGCAGGAGACCUAGAUCCCCAACCUCUAACUUGGUGCACGACUGUGGACAAGCGACUGUCUUCCCGGCCGACUCUACCAUCUCUAAGGGUCCUUGCCGUCUGAACUUGUGUGGAACCCAGUUUUCCUGGGCCCUCGCUUGUGCUUGGUGGAAGGAGGGAGCCCAAACUCGGCAAGGUCAGGCCAUGGGGGAGGGGGGGAUUCUCCAAAAAAAGCCUUGGAAGCAUGGGAGAGGCAGAGGGAGGCAGCAGGUAGAGAAAAGAGGACACCACUGGCCCGUGAGCACAGGCUCUAAGUCUGGGGCCCCUGGGGGGCUGUCCUCAGCCAGUGGAAGCAGGACAUCCCUACUGGCCUCCCGGAAGGGGCGUCAGGAGCCCUGGGUCUCAGCCGAAUCCCGCCCUCCCACAUCUCACACUCUCCAUUUCUCACUCCAUCACUGGCUGGCCCCUGCCAACACCCUGCCUGAUGGUGGGAUCAUGUCUGGGCUGUACCCCAGGUCGAGUGAGUAACGCAAAGUGAGAAGAUUCUGUGCCCCUCACUCCUGGCAGGGGUCCUAUAAAGUCUCCGGGUCUCGGGUGGCAGGGAGAGUCUAUAAGAAACACCCAGGGGUUGGGGGAAGCGUAAGUGGUACCCUGCCCCCCAGCUCAGUUUCACGAGCAGCUGGUCCAUUCCCAGGGAGAACCGAUGGGCAGCACCCUGGGGUCUCCUGGUGAUCAUCAGCAGGGGAGGUGUCUGGUGGGGAGUGGGUGAGGGGAAGGACUGCUCUCAGCGUCCUGUGUGGGCACAGAACUCAUUUUGCCAGCAGCACACCCACAACUGCCCACACUCUUCCCUGCUUCCAAAACCUGGUCUGGUACAGGUUCCAUCCCAUCUCCACCUGGGCCACCGGGGGGGGGGGGGGGUGCGGGGGGCACCAGACACCACAGAGCCCCUUCCCCAGAUGUGGAAAACUGAAGUCAACAACAACCAGCUGUUGCUCAGCUGUCUGGGGUUCUCUCCUGCUGCGGCUGCCCCUCGGGAGGCCUGGAACAGGCAUAAAUUCAGAUCCAUGCUCCACUGCUAGCUCCUUAACACUCACUUCCUGAGCCUCAGUUUCCCCUUCUGUUAAGGGGAGGGAUGCUACUUCUCUACCUAGGAAAUUCUUUCUCCUUCCCUCACUGCUGUGCUGACUGCUACCCAUCCUCCUGGCCUCUCCCAGGGGCGCCUCAUCCUCUGCCCUCUGGUGGACCCUGGGUACAGUGGCUGGCAUGGGGCUCAUCUCCGGAUGGCCAGCGAGCAUGUCUCCAGAGUCCCUGGCACAGGAUAGCUGCUGAGUCAACAGGCAAGUGAGUAUCCCUUGCCUCGGAGGGUUCUCAGGGGCAGGGCACGGGGCGCUGGUGGUGGGAACAUCCAGCACGGUGCCAAGCCGCGACCCCCUGGGGCUGGACAGUGGACGCGGGGCCCCGUGUCUCCCCACACCUCUCUCUCUAAGGUCUCCCCAUCCCUUGAGGCUCAGGAAAGAGCCCACCUGAGCAAGAGUCCCUCCCUGCCCCCAACCGUCCUUGUGCCUUUGGAGACACCUGCUAUUGUCUCCACUGCAGCCUACCACGAGCCAGGGGCUCUCAGCGUUCAUCCUGGGAGCAGUCUGUCUCAUGGCAGCGGGUUAAAGGCUGGCCUUGCUGGCUCCAGAGCCCCUGCCCUCUCUGCUCAUCAGGCCUCUUGGAAGGCCGGUGGAAGGCCCCUCUGCGUCCUUGGCUGUUCCAGCCCCUGAGCCCCCUGGCUACCCCUGACUGGGGGGAAGAUGACACAGUGUCCCGGAUCAGUUCUGUUUCCUGGGAGGUCACAAGAACAGGGCAGGGAAUUGGGCCACCUGCUGGGUGGCUGGAGCCAAGAAACCCAGGCAGUGAGCCCAGCUCUGCCACUUUGUCGCUCUCUGUUCUGGGCCUCCCCGUCCACCCAGCCCUGGGCAAGGACGAUGGUCAGUCCUUUGGGAGGCCAGAAAGAGGGUGCUGAGCUCCCGGUGGGGCACGCACAGCCCGGAGCAAGACAUGGGGAGACGAGCGAGUGAGGCAAGCCCCUUUGGCCUCCCACCCUGGAGGGGUUGAGGGAGAGGCUGAGGGGAUGUGGGGAGGGGGCCUGGAGGCAGGGCUGUCCCACCAUGGGGAGCAGCAGAGCAGAACAGGCCCCUGGCUUGCAGCAGAAUCAGGGUAUCUCAUGGGCUGAGGUCCCCAAGCCCUCCCAGAGUGACAGAAGCACUGACAGUGGAGCCCUGGGCUCGGGAUGGGGAGGGCAGGGAGGACAGGGGCCAGCAGGUGCUCUGCAGUCAGUCUUGGCCCCAACUCUAUUACUGGCUGCCUGAGUGACCCUGGGCAAGGGGCCUUGACCUCUCUGGGCCUUGGUGUCCUCAACCAUAAAAUGGAGACAACCCCAGCACUCAUGUGUACCUGUACUUGUUCACACCUACCCUGGAGCCAAACCUUCCCAGCAUCGUCCCGGUCUAUCUUUCACACCAGUUCCCACCUCUGGUACCAGUGGGGCUCCUCUGUACCUUGCCUUCCCCAUCCUGGGACCAUCUGUCUCUCACCACUGGUGUCAAGCACAUACCUGACACACAGUAGGCACUCGAUGAAUGCUCCAUGACACAAUCGAUGAAUACAAACACCCCCCAGCCCCUGCUGGACAGACUUGCACACACAUGUAGAUGCACCCCCAACACCUUACUGCCCCACCCCGUACUGAGCUGCCCUUGACCCCAGUGGAACAACCCAGAGGCUGCUGAAGAACUGGGCAGGGCAGCCUGGGAGGGAGCAGGGUCUGGGUGUGGGCAGGGGGAAAGGGGGGGCUGGCGGGGGGUGGCUGGGACUGGGACAGGGACAGGCGAGGGGUAAGUGGUCACUGCAGCUCAGUAGCCCUGCGACUGGUAGCCCUGGGGCUCGGUGUCAAAGGCGUUGGCCGGCUGCUGGUAGGUACCGCCCAUGCCAGCAGGGUCUGGCCCGGCGCUGGGCUCCACGUAGGGGGCGUAAGGCAUGCUGGAGUCCUGGCUGGGGUCCAUGUAGUCCUGGGAGAAGAGGGCCGAGUCGGCGCCAAUCUGGUACCGCUGGAAAGCCAGCACAGCCUGGCCCGCCUGGGGAUGGGGGCCGGCGGAGACAAGGACAGACGGGAGGGGAUGGUUAGAGGAGAGACAAGAAGAGCGGGUUAGUGGCAGUUAGUUCACAGGACACAGGCAAUAGCGGUUAAAUAUCCUCGAAGCACCGAAGAUGAAACCCAGCGGGACCCAGGGCCAGUCUGUCCUGCAGCCAGCCCUCCACACACCUGGAGCCACCCUGUCCAUCCAGCCAGAAGGACCUUCAGAAGUCACCUGCCCCGUGUCCCCCAUCCCCAGCGGUCACUAUGCAUCACCAAAAGUUCUUCGCUGUGGAGUGUAGCCCAAAGGCCACCACAUCCUCCUCAAACUGUGUUCUCAGGGCUGUUAUGCGGCACGGGGAAAAAAAAUUUUUGGUGGGACAGAGAACAGUUGGUAUCUCCUCAAAGCCGGCCUCUCUCGCAGCUGGGUGUAACCACGUAACUAAGUUCUGGCCAACAAAUCGCCCCCAGUCCUUCGUCCUACCCUUUGGCCUGACGCCUGGAACGCAGAUGUGGCAGCUAGAGCUCUAGCUGCCACCAGGGACCACGAAGUCCAUGAGCCGAACUGUAGGGACAGAAGAGGCCCGGGUCACUGUAAAGACUUCUGGAGCCACUCGGCCAGUCCUGGGCUGUCUUCUCACACCUGGGCUUCAUUUACACCACUGCUACUUACAAUUUCAUUCGCUGCUGAACUUAAUUCUAACUGAAACACUUGGUCAAACAAGUUUGGGAGUAAAAUAAGUUUUAAGACCAUAGGACUUGUCAGAGCCUUGAUUCAUGUAUGCUGGGAUCCCCAAGGGAAAACUAUGGCAAGCAGCAUUUGCCAACCUUAUCUGACCUGUAGGGGAAAGACUGGUCUACAGCGUAUGUACGUAGGUGAGAAAUUCUUUUUGAGGAACAGCUACUACAUUGUUAUUAUGGAUGAUGAUGACCACACCAAGCUAGGGAAUAGAUUUUAAAGCAUAGUUUUUAGGUUUACAUUGAAAGCCUUCUCCAAAGAUCUUUUCAGCGGGUAAUCCGAGAUGGAAAGAUGCUAAUGCUCCACAUACCCACUCUUGGGACGGGAGGACUGAGGCUCAGUUAAGGGAGGCCUCACGGCAGACUUAGUGCCAGAACCCAGACCUGAACACAGAGGUCCUGCCUCUUUCCAGGCCACAGCCCUCCUCAUCUCCUUCCCUUUCAUCAGACCCCUGAGAAGGCAAUAAACCAACGAGGAACCCAAAAAGGCCAUCUGGUGAGAGGCAGGAGAAGUGGGCUUGGCAUUUUAAUUCUAGAAAGUUCCAGAAGCCCAGUGACUAGGCACUGGCUUUUGAUUUGUGUCGUUGGUAAAAGCUCUGAGCUCAGGCAGCCCUUCCUGAAUGGCGGCCGUGUAAAGCAGUGCAGGAGCCCGAGAAAGGCAGACCAGGCGUAAAGGGAUCCAGCUGAGGAAAUCAGGCUUCCCUUGGCUAGUCAGUGCAAGAGGCCACAAGAGCCUGGUAGGGGCUGGGGGGCAGGGGACCCUGCUGGACAGGGGUGCAAAGGGGAGGCUGGGAGUUCUGCUCAGAGCCCAGGGA
rnacentral:lncRNA from 1 species